rnacentral:rRNA from 1 species
UGACCUCAAAUCAGGUAGGACUACCUCGCUGAACUUAAGCAUAUCAAUAAGCGGAGGAAAAGAAACUAACAAGGAUUCCCCUAGUAACUGCGAGUGAAGCGGGAAAAGCUCAAAUUUAAAAUCUGGCGGUCUCUGACUGUCCGAGUG